rnacentral:rRNA from 1 species
UGGACAAAUUGAAACAUCUAAGUAAUCUAAAAAAAAAUCAAACGAGAAUCCGUAAAUAACGGCGAGCAAACGCGGAUUAGAAUAAAACCUUUUUUUUUAUGAAAUAUUUAUUACAAAAGGUUGAAAAUCCUGUAGUUAAAAAUAUCAAAGGCUUUUUUUUAAGUAUUAAAGUUUUUCUUAAUGAAAAUUGGAGUACCAUCUUCAAAACACUAAAAAAAUUAAUCAUAAAUAGUAAAAAAGUACCGUAAGGGAAAGGUGAAUUUACUCUGAAUUUUAAUGCUGGUAACUCUUGAAGCUUUUUAAAGUACCAAAGAUACCUUUUGCAAAAUGAAUCAACGAGUUUAUAUUUUAGGCGAGUUUAGAUUGUUGUUUAUAAAUAAAGAGAAACCGAAAAAAGUCUUAAAUAUAAAACCCGAAACCUUGUGAUCUAACCAUUAACGGGUUGAAAAUUUAAAGGAGACUUUUAUUGAAGGACCUAACUCGUGUAUGUUACAAAAUACUGAGAUGAUUUUUGGUUAGGGGUGAAAGGCCAAUCAAACAAGGCAAUAGCUGGUUUUCUGCGAAAUUUAUUCUAGUAAAAUGUUUAAAACUAAUAACAGGGGUAAAGCACUUUUUUAACACGGGAAUCAUGUAUUUACCAAAUUAUUGAAAACUUUGAAUACAAUUUUGAUGUUUUAAAUAAUCGGACUUUGGGUGCUAAGAUCCAAUUUAGUCAAAAGGGAAACAGCCCAGAUUAUAUGUUAAGGACCUUAAAAAUAAAAAAGUAAAAAGUGGUUAUAAAAUUUUAAGUUUUAGGAGGUAAGCUUGGAAGCAGCUAUCCUAUAAUGAAAGCGUAAAAGCUCACUUGAUUAAUUUUAUAGCACUGAAAAUUUAAAGGGAUUUUUAAUAUUUUCCGAAACAAUAAAAUUCAAUUCGAAUUGGUAGCAGAAAUAUUUCAUAUUUUUUAAAAGUUAAGCGGAUAAGGCUUAAUGAAAAAAUUGGAGGAACGAAUGUUGAUAUAAGUAGCUAAAAGAAUAAAAAAUUUUCUCGUCAAAAGUUUAAGGGUUUCCUAUAUAAAUUUUUUUUAAGGAAGAAAAAUUCAAAAAUAUUCGGCCCCUAAAGUUAAAGUGAAAACUUUUUUUGAUGGGAAUUAUUUAAAAAUUUGUGAAUUGCGACAAAAGGUUAGAAAUUUUUUAAGAAAAAAACUCAAAGAAUUUUAUCCUUUUCAAGAAAAAACAUUUGCUUUUUACCGUACCAUAACCCGAAACUGGUAAACUAGUUAAAAGCUAAGACGCUUGAGUUAAUUGUGUAAAAGGAACUCGGCAAAAUUCUUCUGUAACUUCGGAAAAAAGAAGAACUUUUUUUGUAAGUUAUGCUAAAAAGGUUGGCACAAAAAUGAAAGGGGGAACUGUUUAACAAAAACACAGGUCUUUGCAAAUUCGUAAGAAUAAGUAUAAAGGCUGACUUCUGCCCGGUGCUGUAAAUUUAAAAGAAAAAAGUAUUUGCUUUUUUAUUAAGAUUCAGUAAACGGCGGUUUUAAUUCUGAAAAUCCUAAGGUAGCAUAAUUUCCUACCACCUAAUUUGUGGCGCGCAUGAAUGAAGUAAUCACCUCUUUACUGUCUCUUACACAAUCUCAGUGAAAUUGGAAUACUUGUGAAAAUACAAGUUUUUAAUGAUUAGACAGAAAGACCCCAAGACCUUUACUAUUUUUUUCCAUUGACAUCUUUUGAUAGUUAAAUAGAUUAGGUGGUAGUUUUAAAAAACUAAAUAUGAAAGACCACUUUCUUAUUAAAAAACGUCUAACUUUUUUAAAAAAGAAAAAAGUGUAAAAUUGGUAGUUUAGCUGGGGCGGUUUCCUACUAAAAAAUAACGAAGGAGUACAUAAAAUAAACUCAUAUAAAUUUUUUUAUAAAAGAGCAUAAUAGUAUAUGUUUAUUUAACUGCAAGAAAAACAAUUUCAAACAGAAGUGUAAGCUGGUUAUAAUGAUCCGAUAAUUUUGAGUGGAAAAUUUAUCGCUUAACGAAUAAAAGGUACCUUGGGGAUAACAGCCUAAUUACUCUUUAAAGUUCAUAUUGAAAGAGUAGCUUGGGACCUCGAUGUCGGCUCAUCAUAACCUGACGCUGUAGUUGGUGUCAAGGGUGCGGUUGUUCGCCGCAAAAUAUGAUACGUGAGCUGGGUUCAGAACGCUGUGAAGCAGUUUGGUCCUUAUCUUUCAUUAACAAAUGAAAACUGAAAAAAGUAAAUCUUAGUACGAGAGGACCAGAAAAAAUAUACCUAUGGUGUAGCAAUUGUUUAAUUUGCAAAGUUGCAUAGCUAAGUAUACUAAACUAAGUGCUGAAAACAUAUAAGCAUAAAAUUUUUUUUAAGAAGUCCGGUUUUCAAGUUAAGAAUUGUAAUAGAUUAUUACAUAAAUAGAUAAACGUGUGUAAUUUUUGUAAAAAGUUUAGCCUCUUUAAACUAAAAUUU